rnacentral:tRNA from 1 species
UGGGGAUUGGUGUAAAUGGCAGCACGCGAGCUUCUGGUGUUCGUAGUCGGGGUUCGAGUCCCUGAUCCCCAG